AGGCCCGGCCUUGCAAAACAAGCUCAGAGUGUGCCUCUGAGUUUUUUGUUCUUGCUGAUAGUAAUGGAAUGUACCGGCCUCCUGAUGUCAGAUCUGAGAGAAACAGAAGACCUGAAAACAAAGAAGACAUCCAAUUCUAGUGGGUGCCACCCAGAGCAGUGAAGGGGGAUGGCCCAAGUCGAGGAAAAAUCCAGAACCUGUGACUCUUGUUCACGAGCACAUGCCUGGAUGUAGUCAUUUUGAGUUUAUGGAAAAUGUGGUCAGCCCCAUAAAUCAGUGCUAAGGAAUUCUGACAGAGUCAUCACCGGGUAGCUGUCUUGCAGAUUUAUUCGCGCAUAUGUUCAUCCAGUUAUUCAUGCAUCAAAUCGUUUAUCUACCCAUCCAAACAUCUGCACAUGUGGCAGAGCACUGUGCGCCGCACAAGAGAAGAUGGUGCUGCAGAGAUGAGUCAGGACUGAAGAAGAGAGACAUGUGGACACUCCGGGAGGGGAGAGCAAUCCGGAACUUCUUCUAACCAAUGAGAGGAUGAUUGAUGCCCGGGAGGAGGACAGUUCGGUGACCGUUUCACUUAACCCCCUGCAUAUACUGAUCUACUAAUGACUAUGUAUGGUGGUUUCCAUAAGAUGAGUAAGGCAGGAGACUGGUGCUCAGACAGUGGUCAGGGGGCUUGAGAAUGGCCAAGGGACGUCAGGGUGGUUAGCACUAGGGUGUCUCACCACACGUGUGUAGGCAGGUGACAUGAACCAGUAAGUGCAGCACCAAGUGGCCUACGACUCAGACCAACCCAACUGUGGUUGUCAUUCAGAGUCACUUCCUGAGUAUUUACUGAAUUCCACAUCUAGCAAUGUCCCAAGGGGAACCCACAAGACAAUGUCAGAAUACACAAUGUAUCAAGUAUUAAUCAAAGGUGGGCUAAUUUGUAAUCCAGGUUCCAUGCUGACACACUGUAAAUGGGCACCUGAGCUUCUGGAAGAAUGCCACCAUGCUCAGGUAAAUAGGAUGAGGCACCUCUAAUCUGGCCUUACUGGCUGGGUGCCUGGCAGUACUGAGCAGGAAUGAAGAGGAAGUCUUCCUAUUGCUUCAAGCUCUGCCACCAUCAGGCCUCCCCUGGGACAGCAGGAGAGCGUUUCAAAGAAUGAUCCAGACAGGCGACGUUGAAGUCAUUACAUAACUAUUCCAAGUCAUGAAGCUAGACAGGCUGUCUGUGAGUGAGCCAAACCCCUGUGCCAAGACCAGCACACAGGCCACCCAAAGGAAUGCUCUGAGCACAGGGACAUGUCGGCCCUCUCCACCCCAACCCUCAGAGGGCCAGAGCCCAUGCCUAGGAGAGCAGUUGGGCAGCACACCGCAUCGCUCUCGAGCCUGCGGUAGGUACCACUGCAGCCUGGCUGCAUGGAGGGGCCUGGGGCCCACGGGGUAAAAGGCCGACUGCCCCACCUCCACGAUGCGUGAUGUGCCCCCACCUUUCCACCUCACCCCUCUGCACUCUCCCCUUAACUUUCUGCACUUCAGCAUCUUAGUCACCUUCCUGCUCCUUCUGUGCACCCUGCUGGUUCUCACUUGUAGCCUAAAUGCUUUCGAUCCCACCCUGCUUUGUCCCUGUGCCUGCACAUAACCAGGUUCACACCGACUCAUUGACUCAUCGACUCAGAUAGAUCCGUAAAUACACCCACCCUCGAAGUCGCCCCUGACCUCACAGCACAGGUUCCGUGUGAGGAGAAGCCAUCAGAACAGAGCUGUGUGGAGAAGAAAUGCCAGUCGAGCUCCGAAAGGCAUCUAACAAGGGCUUGAAUAUCACAGAGGAGAGGAACUGAAGCAGAAAGGCUCAGCUAUUGUGGGGAAAGGUUUUUACUUCUUUCUGGAAGAAGGAGAAGGUUUCCUGUGAAGCAAGGAGGAGAAGGACCUGGUCUGCAAGGGGACAGAGGAGGCUUCAGCCCUGAGGGAAGACUUCCUGGGGCUAAACCGUAAGAGGCUGCAUGAGAGAUGGAGACCGUAUUUGGAAUGGCUGUAUCUGCUCCCAUGGAAGCUUCACCCACGUGGCCCGGUGUGGAUCAGCGUGUCACACGGGUGAGACUGUAUUUCAGAGUGAAGUCAGAAGGGGAUGAGGACCAACAGCAGAGCCCGCCUUCCCCUUGGAGUCUUGGCUUGGAGUUUCAACCAGUAACUUUGUGAAGUGGGAUUGAUAACUCAUGCAAGGAUGGCCCCAUGUAACCUGUUGAAUAUGUAUCAGGAUGUAGUAUCCAAAUACAUACACAUCUGCACUGUUUAGUAAA